rnacentral:rRNA from 1 species
UACGGAGGGGGCAAGCGUUGUUCGGAUUUACUGGGCGUAAAGGGCUCGUAGGCGGUCAGCACAAGUCAGUUGGGAAAUCUCCGGGCUUAACUCGGAAAGGUCAACUGAUACUGUGCGACUAGAGUGCAGAAGGGGCAACUGGAAUUCUCGGUGUAGCGGUGAAAUGCGUAGAUAUCGUCAAGAACACCGAUAGUGAAGACAGCUAACUAAGCUUUAACUGACGCUGAGGCACGAAAGUGUGGGGAUCAAACAGG